GCCUGGCUGGCUCAGUCAGUGGAGCAUGCCCCUCUCGAUCUCAGGUUUAUAGGUUCGAGUCCUAUGCUGGGUA
rnacentral:tRNA from 1 species